UGGGGAAUAUUGCACAAUGGAGGGAACUCUGAUGCAGCGACGCCGCGUGAACGAAGAAGGCUUUCGAGUCGUAAAGUUCUUUUAUAUGGGAAGAUAAUAACGGUACCAUAAGAAAAAGCCCCGGCUAACUACGUGCCAGCAGCCGCGGUAAUACGUAGGGGGCUAGCGUUGUCCGGAAUCACUGGGCGUAAAGGGUUCGCAGGCGGAAAUGCAAGUCAGGUGUAAAAGGCAGUAGCUUAACUACUGUAAGCAUUUGAAACUGCAUAUCUUGAGAAGAGUAGAGGUAAGUGGAAUUUUUAGUGUAGCGGUGAAAUGCGUAGAUAUUAAAAAGAAUACCGGUGGCGAAGGCGGCUUACUGGGCUCAUUCUGACGCUGAGGAACGAAAGCGUGGGUAGCAAACAGG
rnacentral:rRNA from 1 species